rnacentral:lncRNA from 1 species
CGGCGGCUCUGCUGGCCCACCCCGGCCGGGCCUGCCCUCCCGCGCCCCGGGCCCUCGCCCGGGCGCCCGCCUUCCCCUCGCCUUCGGGAUCACCUGUGGCCGCCGGUCGCUUUUCUGCACGCAGCGCCCCGCGGAACGCGCCUCUGACCACUUUCUCCCCCGACUCGGUGGGGCAAGAGGCUCGCAACCCGACGCCACUCUCCCGCUGGCUCGCCGGAGCACUCGGGGGCGAUAAAUGCGCCAGCUUGUUGGUGGAAAAGACAGGUUUGGUCUGGGGAGCUACGGUCACCCGCAUUUCCUAGAGCGCCCCAGCUCUAAUCGGAAGGUACGGCCCCCUUCUGGGCCGUGGAGAACGAAGCCACUGGGACCGUCCGGGGAGUGGAGGUGGAAAACCAUCGGAGACUGCAUCCUCCUAAGUAUGUUCUUCCCUACUCAAUGCAAGUGAACCCAGAUAUACAACUCGGAUGAUUCACAAUGCUACUUUAAAACAGUAUCCUGCUUUAGAAAACAAUGUUUUCAAAAGAACCAAAUCUAUUAGCUCUAGCGUGCCUGUGAGACAUCUGACUCCAAGGUGAAUAAUCUGACAUCACUAGUAAUCAGUAUUUAUUUCCAGAUCAUUUCAAAUGAAAUCAGUCAUUGGGAACAACAUGUAACAUGACAUCUGCUCCUGCAGUUAUAAGUAGAAUCAUUCAUUCUAUAGAUAUGUCCCCAAUAGAAAUAUAAUCUCAAGUACUUAUCUGAAAUAUUUACACAUUUAUUCAACAAAGACAUUUCCAGAAUAAUGUAAAACUGACCUUGCCCUUUAGAGAUGUACUUCAUUCACUUCCUACAACUAAUGAGCAACAGAAUUUCAGAUAUGAAGCCCUAACCUUCCAAUGUAGCUAGAUGCUAUUUGUAAUACAUGCCUCUAUUAAAUGUCUUCAGCUUUUAACCCAGGUUAUAUUACUGUUCUUUAUAUUAACACAAAGCUCUUUGAGAGUAAAAACUAUAGGCUGUUUUUUUUUUAACCACUCAAAAUGCACAUUUUCUAUGACAUUAUCAGGCCCCAACCAAAC